rnacentral:lncRNA from 1 species
AUGUUCCUAAUACCUUCUCCUCUGCCUGCCCCCUCCCUGGCUGGGGGAGGGGGGGUCCUCUCUGCUCUGCUUGGGGGGAGGGUGGUGGCAGGUCCAGUGACCAGGAGCUGGUGCGGAUGGGAUCUGUUCCGGGCACCACUCCUCAAUCCCCGGGAGGAUUCUGGCGGCUGGCGUUCAGGCCUGGGUUCUGCCCCUGCCUUUCCCGUGCACGGUCAUCACCUCUUCGGGCCGCGUGUUCUCCUGCAUGAGAGGAGGGAGGCAUUGGGGGCCUCUGGGCACCGUCUGAUCACCCCAUCUAUGAAUGAGCACACAUCUGUGCCGGACGCUCGUGUGAAUCCUGGGGACACAGCUGGGGACACAGGUGAGGUCCUCACCCAGACCAUGAUCAGUGUGGUGUGUAACUGCUUGGGUGGGGGGGAUCUCUGGCAGAGCUGAGUGAGGGGAUGGCCAGUAGAGACUGAGCUCUCAGAGGAGAUGACAGCUGAAAGGGACAAGAUGUGAAGGGCAGCACCAUAGGGGUGGCCUGGGGCAAGAGUGUCCAUGCAGCAGGAGUAGCAAGUACAAAGGCCCUGGGGUGGGAUGGACCCUGACUGUUGGAGGAACAGCAUGCAGGUGUUCCAUGCUGUGGCAGCUUGGUGGCGAGUGGAGGGAGCCUAGAGGAGCCAGCCCUGGCCCAGUCAGAUGGCCUUGGGACCAAGGUGCCACCAUGAAGGAUUCUGCAUGGAGAGGGGAGGGCUCUCACUCUUGCCUUCCAGGGGUCACUGUGGCUGCUGGGGUGGGUGGUCGGAGGGGCAUCCUCCCCAGGACGCGGAGAUAGUACCAGAGCAAGCCUCCAACCUGGGAGGAGAGGCUGGGCUGAGGGUGGGGCUGGUGCAUGGACCGGCAUCAGGGGACCCUGGCGUUUCCACAUCUACCUCUCUGGUGCCCUCUGUCCUGGGCCCUCUCCCCAUGCCACCACUGGCCUGGCCAUGAGCUCCCUAGUUAAUGCUGAUCCGGAAGGGGACUCCCUCACCAGUCCCCAGGGGGGCACCUUACAAAUCUCCCCGGAGGCUGGCUGGUGGCCGAAAUGGCACAGGCACCUGGCCCGCCCACGGGGCACAGAGAAACGGAGGAGGGUCGGGCCUCCACCAGCCCUUACAGAGGCAGCUGCCGCUUUCUGAGCAGCUCUGCGUGUGGGCCUGCCCUCGGGGCGCGAGGUCCCGGGGGGCCUGAUGACCCCCUCCAGGAGCCCACCUUCAGGGCCCCCCUGGUCUGACCCCAAUGCCGCCGCUGGGUGACUGCUAUCUAGGCCCCAUCCUCCCAUCAACCCCGCCCGCGCGUCUGGUGCUCAGCACCUACGGACAAAUGGAGACGUCGAGGCAUCCGGAAGUUUCGUAAAACCCUUGGCCUCCAGACCCCUUCUCGGCCCCCGCGCACCUCGCCCUUUCCAUCCUCA